rnacentral:rRNA from 1 species
UACGAAGGGGGCUAGCGUUGUUCGGAAUCACUGGGCGUAAAGCGCGCGUAGGCGGAUUGCCAAGUCAGGGGUGAAAGCCCGGGGCCUAACCCCGGAACUGCCUCUGAAACUGGCAAUCUGGAAUCUCGGAGGGGGUAGCGGAAUUCCAAAUGUAGGGGUGAAAUCCGUAGAUAUUUGGAGGAACACCGGUGUCGAAGUCGGCUACCUGGACGAGUAUUGACGCUGAGGCGCGAAAGCGUGGGGAGCAAACAGU